CGCGUGGGUAACCUGCCCUAUACACAUGGAUAACAUACUGAAAAGUUUACUAAUACAUGAUAAUAUAUAUUUACGGCAUCGUAGAUAUAUCAAAGUGUUAGCAGUAUAGGAUGGACCCGCGUCUGAUUAGCUAGUUGGUGAGAUAACUGCCCACCAAGGCGACGAUCAGUAGCCGACCUGAGAGGGUGAUCGGCCACAUUGGAACUGAGACACGGUCCAAACUCCUACGGGAGGCAGCAGUC
rnacentral:rRNA from 1 species